rnacentral:tRNA from 1 species
GUCCCCGUAGCUCAGUUGGAUAGAGCGCAGGCUUGCGGAGCCUGAGGCCAGAGGUUCAAUUCCUCUCGGGGACGCCA